AGAGUUUGAUCCUGGCUCAGGAUGAACGCUGGCGGCGUGCCUAACACAUGCAAGUCGAACGGAGUUCUUAAGGAAUGCGGCUUCGGUCAAAUGACUUUUGAACUUAGUGGCGGACGGGUGAGUAACGCGUGAGCAACCUGCCUUUCAGAGGGGGAUAACAUUUGGAAACAGAUGCUAAUACCGCAUAAGAUUACAGUACCGCAUGAUACAGUGAUCAAAGGAGCAAUCCGCUGAAAGAUGGGCUCGCGUCCGAUUAGAUAGUUGGUGAGGUAACGGCUCACCAAGUCGACGAUCGGUAGCCGGACUGAGAGGUUGAACGGCCACAUUGGGACUGAGACACGGCCCAGACUCCUACGGGAGGCAGCAGUGGGGAAUAUUGCACAAUGGGCGAAAGCCUGAUGCAGCAACGCCGCGUGAGGGAAGACGGUUUUCGGAUUGUAAACCUCUGUUUUCGGUGACGAACAAAUGACGGUAACCGAGUAGGAAGCCACGGCUAACUACGUGCCAGCAGCCGCGGUAAUACGUAGGUGGCAAGCGUUAUCCGGAAUUACUGGGUGUAAAGGGAGCGCAGGCGGGAUAGCAAGUCAGCUGUGAAAACUAUGGGCUCAACCCAUAAACUGCAGUUGAAACUGUUAUUCUUGAGUGGAGUAGAGGCAAGCGGAAUUCCGAGUGUAGCGGUGAAAUGCGUAGAUAUUCGGAGGAACACCAGUGGCGAAGGCGGCUUGCUGGGCUCUAACUGACGCUGAGGCUCGAAAGUGUGGGGAGCAAACAGGAUUAGAUACCCUGGUAGUCCACACUGUAAACGAUGAUUACUAGGUGUGGGGGGUCUGACCCCUUCCGUGCCGGAGUU
rnacentral:rRNA from 1 species